GAGAGCUGCAAUGCACGCCCGUCCUGACCCUGAAAAUUCCCUCCAUGAUCACCUUUGGCAGCAGGAAAGCAGGAUGGAUGGAAUCUUCAGCUUCAGGGUUGCCAUAUACUCAAGCACAAGUAUCUUCUAGCUAAAAACUCUAACAGUCAUCUCCAAGUCUCACCAACAGGUGCCUUCACAACGAAUCUCUAACAAACUUUCAGUAUGAAGGGCCUUAAGAUGAAGUACAAAAUCAAACAGGUGCUGAAGAAGUAUGUAAGAAAGCCCAGCAGUAAAAAGCAACCUUUUAAAGGUCAGAAUAACAUAAAAGUUACCUUCAGUAGCAUUAACGCUAUUAUUUCAACAGCUAAUCUCAGUAUAUAAACUGAACACUGUACCUGGAAUUUGUGCCAAUUUUUGUGCGCUCCAGCUCUUAGGACGUGGAAGUUUUGACCUUACAAUCGUAGCCUGUGACUUCCUUGAAGGCGGCCGCUUAGGAACCCAAGCUGGCAAAGUCGUCUUUUGUGUGGGGACAGAGUCAGGUUCUCCAAUACUCUUAAACCAGCUACCACCGCUAGCCAUUUCUGACCAACCAAAGCAACCUUAACAGUAAAGCCAAUAUCGAGACUGAAAGGGUCUUCUCCUGUUCGUUAACCACACUUUAAAGCAAGGCUCCGCGUGGCCCUGCCCCUCCUCUCACUACCAGCUCCAGACAACUUACCGCCUAACUCCCGUGGGCGCAAAGCAAAGGCUACAGCAGCAAAGCUGAUCCCUCUCCAAGUUUCCGCGACGACACAAUGCUCCAGUUCAAUUCAGUAUCUGCUGUCUCCUUCUUUUAUGCUGUGAGGAGCCGCACAGCUGAAGCGCUCGGCCGUUCCACCGCGGGCGGCGCCCAAGCUCUCACACACGAGGCGCAGCAGAACCGCGCCUGAAAUGAAAGGCGCGACGAGGGCGGGAGCUGGCGGAAGUCCCCUACCAAAACCUGCAGCUGUGGGGGGAGGGUUCCAACGACUGGGGAGAGCCGCCAAGGUCCGUCACACGGCGGCUCCCGGUGCCUGGGUCUCGGCGGCAGAGAGCGGCGGGACGCGGCGCCGUCAUUUCGCGUGAGGGGCAGAUUCCCGCCGCCCGCCGCGUGCGGCCGAGCCCUGAGGGGAGGAGCGCGCGCGCCUCGUGCUGCGCGGCCGCGGCCACCCCCAGCCCCGCGUGCUUCCCGCCUCGCCCGCCUCGGCAGCUGCCCGUCGGGGCAGCGCGGUGCUCGAAGCCGCCGCUGGCGGGCGCGCUGGGGGCAGCUCCACCCUCACCCGCUCGACACAGGAGGACAAAGGGAACGAGGCCGGCGGAAGACACCCCGGAGUCCUCCCUGCAGGCAACCAGGGCUCCCCCUCGGCUUGUUUCCAGCUCCCCGAGGGGACGCAUAUCCUCCCGCAGUGGCAGGGUGAAGCAACCCCUUUCUUGAGGUCACCUCACUUAAUUGACACUCGAUGCACAGUUACACUGAAUUUUUUUUAAUCAAGGAAGUUGAACAACCAAAAAAAAAAAAAAAAAGCCCUGUACAGUAGUUAAAUUUUAUUACAAGUGUAAUAAACAAUGAUUUUUAGCACUAAGGCAAUCACAGUUUCAUAAGUUAUGUAUAUAUAUAUAAUUUACACAAGUCUACAUAGACAAAUCAAUUUACCAGUCACAUCAAUGAGGGGUUUCAUGUUAUGGCAGGUAAAGUUUAUGAAAAUUCACAGUUAAUCUGCAAGUAUUUUAAAGAUGCAGGAAUAAUAUUGCACAUAGUAAAACAGUGGACUCUGAGGAGCAGAUUUACAGUGUUCCAGCUCUUCCUUCACAGAAUAUACAUUGGUCAU